rnacentral:rRNA from 1 species
UACGUGGGGUGCAAGCGUUGUUCGGAAUUACUGGGCGUAAAGCGUGUGUAGGUGGCCUACUAAGUCUGAUGUGAAAGCCCUGAGCUCAACUCAGGAAUUGCAUCGGAAACUGGAAGGCUGGAGUCCGGGAGAGGGUAGUGGAAUUCCUGGUGUAGAGGUGAAAUUCGUAGAUAUCAGGAGGAACACCGGUGGCGAAGGCGGCUACCUGGACCGGUACUGACGCUGAGACACGAAAGCGUGGGGAGCAAACAGG